rnacentral:lncRNA from 1 species
UAAAGAAAGAAAAACAAAGAUAUUCUCAUUGCUUGUCUGGUGGAUGGUUUCAGCUCUGCAGACCCAACAAAGGAGUUGCUGCUCCUGUGUGGGCUACCAGAUGACAAAAUCUCAACCAUUCUGAUGGUGAAGCUCUUAAAAGCUCCUUGCUCUUCCAGACAACCCUAACAGUCAUCGCCACCACUGCAAAAAAAAGGCCUCCCUGAAAAUAGCAUCCAGAGGCAGCAGCAUGGAACAUGAAUUUUCACAUGGUUUCCUGCAGCAGCAAGGACCACAGAAAUCCA